UACAGGGGGAGCAAGCGUUGUUCGGAUUUACUGGGCGUAAAGGGCGCAUAGGCGGCCACCGCAAGUCGACUGUGAAAUCUCCGGGCUUAACUCGGAAAGGUCAACUGAUACUGUGCGACUAGAGUGCAGAAGGGGCAACUGGAAUUCUCGGUGUAGCGGUGAAAUGCGUAGAUAUCGAGAGGAACACCUGCGGCGAAGGCAGGUUGCUGGGCUGACACUGACGCUGAUGCGCGAAAGCCAGGGGAGCGAACGGG
rnacentral:rRNA from 1 species